CCCUUAGAUGUUCUGGGCAGCACGCGCGCUACAAUGGUCUUCGCAAACAGAUGCAUUCUCGAAGGAGAAUGCCAAUCUUGGAAUCUAUGCCUUGGUCGGGACAGUUGCUUGCAAUUUUUCGACUCGAACCAGGAAUUCCUUGUAAUCGUGAUUCAUCACAUCACGAUGAAUACGUCCCUGCCCUUUGUACACACCGCCCGUCGCUCCUACCGAUCGAAGAGCUAGGUGAAUUGUUUUGAUCGAUAAGAUUUGACUAUGGUCAACUCUCGUUGUGAAAUUCUGUGAAUCUGACUGUUUAGAGGAAGGAAAAGUCGUAACA
rnacentral:rRNA from 1 species